rnacentral:lncRNA from 1 species
UCCGAUCACGGGAAAAAAGCUCACAGUUUUCAGAAGAAACAAAGAAAGCGAGCGUGAAUUUUCCUUGAUUUUUUGGGAGACUCACCUAAGUUAUCCCCGCCUCCAAAAUCGUGACGAACAAUCCAGCCGCUGCUAGUACCGACGAGCAGGACAUUGUUUCCAGCGGCUACUGAGGUGACAAGCCCGUGACCUUUGGCGGCGUUUUGCUCCAGCACAUCCAAGCUGAAGAUCUUGAUCUCUGGCCUCGACAGUGAAAUCGCCUGGAAAUCCUGCGAGGAAUUGGAUCAGCGAUCGACGAUUCAGCUCAAUCUCACCUCGUUGAGCCCCGAUUGAGCGGGCGAAGACGACGUCCAUUCAUCCAGCAUUGCUGCCUAAACCCUAAUCUCGCCCAGGUGUAAGAAUUAUGAACCUAAUGUAAAAAGGUAAAGUAGAUUUCGUUUGACCAUAAGCAUCUUUUACAACUUAGAUGUACAAAUUGGGUUUUACUAAAUCUGCUCUCGCUUCAAAUUUAAGAGUUUGUUUUUAGGAUAAGUUUGAAAACUAAUUAAAUAUAAAUUGGUGCUAGAUUAUAAAUUUAGAUGUGAUCAUUAUGUUUAAGAUAAUUCUUAUAUUCUGUAUAAUUGGCAAAUUUAGACACUUUUCAUAAAUAGCUAAUAAGUUUAAAAUUUGACCAAAUGGGAAACUACAACAAAAGUGUCUUGAUAAAUAUAAUAAACUAUUACAUAAUAAAUAAUGAAAGGUUAAGCUCAAUAUGAAAAUGGUUUUUAACACUAAUUUAACAAUAUACCAUAUCAAAUAUAUUUUGUUAGAUGACAAUUUACAACUUCAUUCUUUAGUGCCCUUCUAGAUUAUGUACCACUGACUAGUCUCUCAACUAGUUUGAAUGGAAACUCUAGCAAUACCAAUUUCCUACUAUCAUGUUAGUAAAAAAAAUUUAUCUAAAAAGAUUAAUAGAUAAAUUUUGAUACCCACAAUACCCAUUUGUUUUGUGACAAUAACAUAUCUCAAAUAACUUUUUAUAUGGCUCAAUUUGAUGUUAAUUGUGUUAACUCUCUCCACCUUGUGCAAACAAUUGUCCUUUAGGAAAAUCUUUUUAUUUCCUAGAACAAAUCUCCUCCCCCUACCUUAUAUGAAAGCAUGUUCUAGGCUUUCACCCCAGUUGUAAGAGUUUGUCUCAUUAAAUAUAGAAUGAUGUUAGAUUAUGAAUUUAGAUGUAAGAAUAAUACUAUUGUGUUCAAGACAAUUUUUAAAUCUGUAAAUAUGCCCAAUUAACAAAUUUAAACACCUUUUAUAAAUAACCAAUAGGACCAAACAGGACCAAACAUAGAAAAUGAUAACCAAGACUUAAGUUCGCCUUAGAAUUUUUUAUGCAAAGCCAAUACCAUAGCACCUCAUUCAUGCCAAGGAGAACACCAUAUGAGGUUUGGUAUGGCAUUAAACUGGAUGUGAGUCUUUGCAAGUAGUGUUCAGGAAACACAAGGAUAAGUUUAAAAAGUUUCUCUAACUGAAGUCAACAAAGGACAAUUAGGCCACAUGUAAUAUUGCACAAUAGAGCUGGAGGAUGGUGACAAUCAAGGGAAUUUAGCAGGACAACAAGGGUGAUGCAUCAAGUGGGGAUGGUGUUGGAGACAACAGAAAUAGUGGAUCCAGUUGGUCCCAAGAUGGCAAAUCCAUUGGUUGCAAGGAGGAAAGUCAUAAGAAUGAAGUUCCCAGAAAGCAUCAAGGGUAUGAUCCCAAGCAUAGAGGCAGAAAAGGUAGUGAUAGAUAGGAUUCCAUACACAUAGAUGGUGGGUGGACUAGUCUACUUCAUAGGGAGUAUUCUUGGCAAAUCCUGACUUUCCAUAUCAAACUGGUGUUAUGUCCUUGAAGGGAAUAGCAAAUUCUGUUUUGUGUUACACAAGACAAGCAAUUUCAGCUCAAGCUGCUAGGAUACUCAAAUGUGGAUUGAGUAGGAGAAGUUGAUAAGCAACUUCUAGCUACGUCUUCAAUGCAAUAGUUAUAUGGGGUAGCCUAGGGAUGACACAAGCAAUCAAGGAGAUCCUCUGACUCAAAACUUUGCUCCAUAGCUUGAGCUACAAGCAGGGAGAGGCAACUCUCCCUAAUUAUGGCAAUCGAGGAACCAUUGUGUUGCCUAAGAGUUCAUGGAUUCAUAGCAAGACAAAGUAAUCCAGCAAAAAUGGUGGACAUAUUCAUGAAGCAAUAUUUGCACAACACACACAAGCUCUUGGGGUGCAGACAGCUUAGCUUAAGUGGGAAUAUUAAGGGAAUGUUCCAACUUCCCUCAAGACCAAGUUGACUCUGGCACUGUCUCAAGAGCUCUGUGCGGGAGGGAUCUUGGGGAUAAGCUGCUCGUCCAUGGCUUUGAAAGAUGCCCUGUUGAGCUUGGGGAAACUCUAACAGUGAGAUAGUCACUGCAGCCCUUGUGAUGGCUUGUGAAUCAAAAGAUGCUAGACUUUUGAUGAUCUUGCAUGACAGGUUAGUGUCCAAGACCUUAGAGUCUUACAAUUUGGGCAAACACUCCAGAUUUCAUAAGACCCAUGUUGUAUAUCCAAGGUGAGGGCUAUGUAGACCAGCAACAGAAGAAGCAGUGAACAUCUUCUUGAGAUAUUUUAUUUGCUAGAUUUAAGCAUUAUUAAUUGAGAAUAAAUAAGAAAUCUACUUUUCUUUUGCUAAUCAGGAGCAAAACACUACACUCGCACAUGCAAAAAGUUUGGCAUCAUGAAAGACUAGAGAAUGAAUCAGCACUCACCUCUUAGACAGCCAAGAAAAAAGCUUAAUCCAAUAUAUCUUUGGAAAGGAUAAAAAUUACAUGUUUCAUUUUUGAAACCAAAGCCAAGAUUCUGGAAUGCUUGUUGGCUCUGCUAGGUACUAUUAGGUUUUUAUUGACAAAAUAAAAUAAUUUGUUAUGCGUUGCAUGUAGCAAUAUCUGGUUUGCUUAAUAGUAGUGUUAUUUCUACUUAUUAAUCCAAUUGAUCAAAUAAAACUUUAUAAUUAUAAAUAUGUUUAUAAUUUUUAAACACAAGAUUAACCAUUAGAAUAAAAAAUAAUAUAUUAGAAAGUGUUUAUGAAAAUUUAUUUAUUAUAAAAAUGUUUAUAAAUUAUAAAUACAAAAUUAAUCUAAAUGAAUAAUAAUCAUUGGCAAAAUAUCCUAGAAUAUCCAAACAUAUUUAUGUAUAUUCACUACCACCCUAUACAGCUUAAGCAAACCAAAAAAAGAAGAGACACAACUAACAGCCAUGGUGAUAGAGCCUGUUGGAGAAGCAAUCCACAGAUCCAAUAAUCUGAUUGCUCAGCUGAUCAAACCAGGAGGUAAAUACUGUGUAUGUAUCUGCUGUUUUAAAUCUUUGUGACACUCUGCCAAAUCUAGAGACAUACAUAUACCUCAGCCUGCGUGCGUGUGAGGGAGGGGGGGAAAUAUAUAUAUAUAUAUUUCCUCUAGACCCUUAACUCAGAUAAACAUUGACUGAUUGUUGCUUGGACGACAAUUAUUAGUUGGGAAACCGUACAAUCCUUAUUUCAAGGUAUGUAUGUGUCUUCAGAUACAAAAACGAAGAGCCUUUAUAUUUUCCAAAGGUCUACCGGAUUCAAUUCAUUGCUUGGUCCGACUGCACUCGCGUCCUGUUUCUCCAGGAUGACAAGAACGGGAUAACUGGAGGUGAGUACUGUCAUCAAGGGCCUGAAACAUACACGAGUUUUCUUGUCUGAUUAAAGUAUAAUUCCCAGACAAAAAACAUUAUGCCUUAGGACUUAGAAUUAUUCAAAAAGAAAAGUCCACGGUAGACUUUUCCCACGCUAUACCUUUCCAAGAUCACGAGCAAAGCAAUGGUGCGGUGCUGGUAGUGAUCACCAACGGGCAUGGCAGCAGCGACUUUGCUCGAGGCGAUUCGAAUCGCGGACAAGGUUGGCACAAUAUCCACUUCGAGCAAGGUCUGUAGAAACCAAUGUAGGAUCCUCAUCGCGGCAGUCGGCUAUGUCCGAGACUACCUCAGGCAAAUCCAGGAUCUCAACUUCGCGAGCAACGAGCCAGCCUUCGUGUGGGACGAAACCGUGGUUGUCCUUAAGAGAGGCAUCCAUCUCCUCAAGUCGUGCCAAGAAGGCAAUUGGAUUGCCCGGAGCCUGCUGUUCAAGGAAAGCUGCGAUGAGUUCCAGAGCAUUUAUCCCGAGAUCUUCAACUGCGUCGAGCUCGUCAGCGUCUAUCUCUUUCAGCUGGCAGCGUCCACCUCGCACAGAUCCAGGAUUUCCCAGGCUUACAACUCGUGCCUCAUGAGGCAGAACUCGAGCAGCAUACUGGAAGAAGCCGGAAGGAACGAUCAGAAGGAGCUCAUGACUCUCGCAAUGAGCCAAGAGCCGGGAAGCCUGACGACCGAGAGCGAACGAGCCAAAGAGAUACUCUGCUCCAUGCUCCUGGGAAACAAGUCAGUGAUUAACCACAAAGAACUCAAGCUGACAACACACCUGGGACAAGGAGGUUUCGGAACCGUGUACGAAGCAAUCUGGCUCGGUCACAAGUUUGCAGUGAAAGUCUUCCCUCAAGGUGACAAGAGCUUCGCCAAAGAGCUCGCGGUUCUUCAAGCGGACAAGCAUCCCAACGUGUUGCACAUCGCCAGCCAGUCUUUCGAUGAAGAGAAGCAGCGGUACUCGCUGGUGAUGGAGAAGAUGGACAUGGACCUGGAAAACUACGUCCUCAAGAAGAAGAAGUCUCUCCCGUUGCUGUCGAUCAUGGCAGUGAUGCUCCAAGUUGCUACUGGCAUGGCGUGGCUUCACUCGAAGAAUAUAAUCCACCGGGACCUCAAGCCGCAGAACAUCUUGGUUGGCGAAGAAGACAACGAUCUCGUGAGUAUCAGGAUUGCCGACUUUGGAGUCUCGAGGCCAAACUUCAUCUCCUCCCAGAUCGAAGCCGUUAGCAUCCAAGGCACCAGGAACUUCAUGGCACCGGAAGUGUGUAGCGGCGAGCGCUACACGAAAAAGGCCGACGUUUACAGCUACGGGAUGUUGAUUUACCAGCUUGUCACUGGAAACGUUCCGUUCGAGGACGGGAUGGACAUGGAGCAAGUCCUUCAAGGCGAGCGUCCUGAGAUACCAGCCACCUGUCCGGAGUUCCUGUCGCAGCUCAUGCGGGAAUGCUGGAGCCACGAUGCGAAAGAGAGGCCUUCCUUCUCGGAUAUCUGCGAGCGGCUGAGGCAGCUCAAGACCAGGAUCAUCACUGGCAUCGAGUCCAUCGACGAGUUACGGGCCAAGUUGGUUGAAGUAGCCGGGUCGUCUUCUUCUUCUUCGUACUCGUCGUCUUCCUCAUCCUUGUCGCACAGCAGGACUCGAGUGAACCUGGAUUCUUUUGUCCAAGCGACUGAAGGGCUUUGGACCAAAAAUCCUCCAUCUCCCCUUGUACAGGUAAACUCUUUUGUUUUUAGUAACUUCCGGUGCUCAUUGCGUUUAGUUUCAGCCGGUACCACACCGUCCUCAGCACGUCGCACCAGUAGCAAAACCGGAUAACAGGACCGAGCUCUUCGAAGUGGUGAAGAACGGCCUCGUCAAAAACGCCUUCGAGAAAGCUCUGUCCCUGAACGAUCCUUCCACGGUCUGGUGGCUUUGCACCAAGGUAAUCCAUUCACGUCCUCCAGCUGCUCAUCAAAGCUUUGUCAGCUCAGGUGGAGCAUACCGUCCUGCUCGUCUUCAGUGAAUCAAUGCUCAUGGAACUGGCCGAGCAAAUCAACACCAACUUCAAGGAAGACACUGCUCGCAGGUUGCUCUGGAUCGACGAGAUUGGCAUCUUGCUGUUCAAGGACGUCAAUGGACAGGCAUGGUCAUCACCUCGGAUGCUGAGGAUCCUGGAGCAGCUUUCACAGAACCUCCACGGCAUGAUGGCUAUAACACCGCCAAAGAGCGAGCUGGGGAUGAAGCUGGCGAACAUGCUGGGCGGCACCAACGUGGGUCUCCAGGUUCGUAUGAAGCUCUUCGUGUUAUUCGUUUGAUUCAAAUCGUUUGUCGUCGCAGCGUAUCCGCGUUGCAGUUGACAACAAAGUUCAACACAUGGGACUCCUCGGAGGAUACUUUCCAGCGGAACACCGGUAGUUUCGGAGUAUUUCGAUGUUCUAAUUUCCUGCCUGCCAAAAGCAUCAACCAUGCUUCACGAAAGAACCAUAAAGAACUUGCCAAUUCCCGUUCUGAACUUUGAGUGAACGCCUAUCAUCGUUUCAUCCUGCGACAAAUAUCCAAGAACAAAGCUCUCACCAUUCUUGAGUAGACGGUGAAGAUCCCAACCUUUUCGAUCUAGCAGCAGCAGUAGCAAGCAGCCUUGGCAGCUUCCGCAGCAGCGUAGACACCAGUAAUUCUCGUCGCCACAGCAUCGAGGAUCAUUGCUCUCCGCUCAAAGAACGACUUUGCCACUUUCAGCUUCUCGGAUCCCCAUAGGCUUGUAGACGAUCCCGGCAGCUAGCCGCUGCUUCAUGACCUUGGCUGGACGAACGUAAGCAUCGCCCAGCUUGGCCUUCAAUCUCUUCAAGCGCUUUUGGGUACAGCAACCCACCUGAAAAUCCGAUCGUCCGCAUGACCACCACCACCGCCUCCCGCUUUGUUGCGCUUGCCCGGAUUCUUGGAGCCGGUGCUCUCGCCGUGCAAGGACGAGGAAUUUGCUGGAGCCACACCAGCAAGCGCCUUGUCUUGCUCUUUGGUCCCUUCCUUCUCGGCGUGCUCGGACCAGAGAUCACGCGAUCCAAUCGGGCCAUAGGUGCGAACAAUGCUGAGUACAUCGGCAGAUCCUUGGGUCUCUUCUUGGCGUAGAGGAAGGGAUUGGAGAUCGUGGAUGUAGAGGCAAGAACACAAAAGGAACUAGAAUCGAACUAGAAUCGAGGCCAUUUCUUAUGGCUGAUUAAAAGCCAUUUCUUAUGGCUGAUUAAAGUAUAAUUCCCACAAAAGAAAAGUCCACGGUAGACUUUUCCCACGCUGCAAAGCAAUGGAGCGGCGCUACUGGUGAUCACCGACGAGCAUGGCAGCAGCGACUUUGCUCGAGGCGAUUCGAAUCGCGGACAAGGUUGGCACAAGAUCCACGAACACAAACUCGAGCAAGGUCACCACUGCUGCUCCGGAGAUUUGCUAGACAGUGCCUUCCACUGGGAUCCAGGAAAACCUUACAAACGUAUUGAUCGGCUCCGCGGCUCAACGCCAACUCUAUCGGAUCACGGGAGAAAAGCUCACAGUUUUCAGAAGAAACAAAGAAAGCGAGCGUGAAUUUUUCUUUAUUCUUUUGGAGACUCACCUGAGUUAUCCCCGCCUCCAAAUUCGUGAUGAACAAUCCAGCUGCUGCUAGUACUGACGAGCAGGACAUUGUUUCCAGCGGCUACUGAGGUGACAAGCCCGUGACCUUUGGCGGCGUUUUGCUCCAGCACAUCCAAGCUGAAGAUCUUGCUCUCUGGCCUCGACAGUGAAAUCGCC